rnacentral:rRNA from 1 species
UAUGUGAUCGUCUCUCGCAUAUCAAUAAGCGGAGGAAAAGAAACUAACAAGGAUUCCCCUAGUAACGGCGAGUGAAGCGGGAAGAGCUCAAAUUUGAAAUCUUAAAGGGUUUCCCUUUACGAAUUGUAGUUUAAAGAAGUGUUUUCUGUUGAGGUUUUGGUAAAAGUUCUUUGGAAUAGGACAUCAUAGAGGGUGAGAAUCCCGUAUUUGACCUUUACUUUCAACUUUGUGAUACACUUUCAAAGAGUCGGAUUGUUUGGGAAUGCAGUCCAAAAUGGGUGGUAAAUUUCAUCUAAAGCUAAAUAUUGGCGAGAGACCGAUAGCGAACAAGUACCGUGAGGGAAAGAUGAAAAGAACUUUGAAAAGAGAGUUAAACAGUACGUGAAAUUGUCAAAAGGGAAGCGUUUGACACCAGUGUUGUUUUUCUGAAAAUCAAUUAAAGAACUGUUUAUGCUAAGUUGUUUAGACUUUAUCAGCUAUCUGUUUAGUUUUGAGCUUUUCUUUAAUGCACUUUUCAGUUAACAAGUCAACAUCAAUUUCUUUUGCUGUAAAAAAGCUUGAGGAAGGUGGCUUGAGAUUCGUCUUAAGUGUUUAUAGCCUCUUGCCUAUGCAGUCGGAGAGAUUGAGGUCUGCAGCGUAGAUCCUUCGGGGCUAAAUGCAUUUGUGCUAAGUUAUAGCAUUUUAUAGACAACUUGUUGACUAUGAUUUGUCUUGUAGCUUACUCGCUUAUGUUAUUUUACCUACGCUUAGGAUGUUGAGUCGUAGAGCACGCAG